CCAAUCAAACGUUGUCUAUGUG
rnacentral:siRNA from 1 species